rnacentral:lncRNA from 1 species
UUAAUUUUUGAUAAACAUCUGUGGACUUUUGAAGUUUUUUUAACAAAAACUUCAUUCUUUGAAAAUGAAUUUUUCCGUCAUCUUGGUUUGAUCCCGUCAUUGGCCCGAGUAAUAAGACGUAGAUAAAUAAUUUUUUCACGGGGAUAAUCACAUAUUAGCAUCUUUACAGAUUGAAGGAAACAAGAAUUGAUGUGAUUAUAAAUAACCAAGAGUGUACGUUCAUCUCAACAAACUUUGCCAUAUUAAAUAAGAGAACCUGCCGCUGGUAUGUAAAAAUAAGAUAAACCAAAAAGGAACGUAGUAAUCCUGACAAAAAUCUUGAGUAGAAAAGCAGAGUGGCUGUCUUGUCGUUUAAUUAUAAGAUUAGCUAUAAGAAGAA